AGAUUUGCAGGGAGUGUUUUUAUAUGGUGUUUGAGGAAGAGAUACACCGAGUGAUUGUGGAAAACCAGCUAUUCAAGCCUGGUGAGCGUGUUGCUAUUGGUGCCUCUGGUGGUAAAGAUUCUACAGUUCUAGCUUAUGUGUUAUCAGAAUUAAAUCGCCGGCAUAAUUAUGGCCUCGAUCUGUUCUUAUUGUCUGUUGACGAAGGCAUUACUGGUUACAG
rnacentral:misc_RNA from 1 species